rnacentral:rRNA from 1 species
CGUUAGCGGCGGACGGGUGAGUAACACGUGGGUAACCUACCUAUAAGACUGGGAUAACUCCGGGAAACCGGGGCUAAUACCGGAUAAUACAUGAAACCGCAUGGUUUCAUGAUGAAAGACGGUUUUGCUGUCACUUAUAGAUGGACCCGCGGCGUAUUAGCUAGUUGGUAAGGUAACGGCUUACCAGGGCAACGAUACGUAGCCGACCUGAGAGGGUGAUCGGCCACACUGGAACUGAGACACGGUCCAGACUCCUACGGGAGGCAGCAGCA